GCCUCCCCGGCGGGGCUGCGCGCCGCCCUCGUUGCUUGUAGGGCAGCGCCGCGUUUUGGCACCAGCCGUGGCUUGUUUGACGGGUUUGGAUGGGAGACGUGACGGAGCAGCGGUGUCCGGCAGCCAGAACCAAACUAACGUGCUCCAUCCACUGCAGCCGCAGAGGCAAAGCAGCGCGACGCGGUUGCUUGUACGUAUUCCUCCUUCCCCACGCUGCUACUCGGUCAGCACUUUGGAGGCUGGCAGGAAGCUUUGAGGCAGUUCGCAGUAGCUUGGCAGAGCUUUUGUAACAAAGCUGGAUAAAAAUCGCUGCAUUCUUCGCGUAGCUCGCCGAAAACAGUCGUGUUUCAUAGGUCUAGGUGUAAAGUGUAGCUAUUGCUUGAAAUCUGUAAAAAAUUCAAAUGCAUUUCAAUACAUACUCCACAGUAUUUGAAGAUACUUCCAGUGUUAGGUUAAUGGCAACGAACAAUGCUUCCUAAACUGAAAAGAAACAGACACACGUCAUCUUGACAGGUGUACAGUGUCAUUGGGUAUUGUGAAGCAGUGUUAACUCUGCUUUUCCUGAAAGAUGUGCAUCGACAAAAAUAUAGAGAAUGCGUAGUUCUCAUAACAGUAACAAUGCCUGGAUUAUUGCAUUAUGUCCAGUGUUCAUUUUCUAUUCCCCUUUAAACAGGCAGACAGAACUCAUUGUUUCGACAUUGGAGUUUUUAUGUCAUUUCAGGGUUUUGUUUACAUUAGUGGAAAUUAACAGCUUCUGUAAGGUAAGUCAGUCUUACUGCUUCCAUCCUUAAAAAAAUUGUAUAUUCAGUAAGAAAAUACUAUCCUUGUUAUCAAAGAAUAGCAGUGUUGCAAACCAUUAUUUUAAAUAUAGAUUCUUAGUUCAUCAAUAGCUUGCCCACAGCACACCGCAGUAUGCUUAUGGAUGACAAAACAAUGUGGUUUCUAUUUAGUAACAUGAUUGUGUUUGCUCUCUUCUAACCUUGUCUUAAGAUUAUGACAAACUAAAAUACAACUUUACGUUCUUAACAAAAUUGCCAUCGUUUGGUUUCUUGUAGACCAGUCUGGACAAUGAUGCAUUUUUGUAGCCCUUUGCUUGCUAAUUUUUAGCUGGUGAGUGAUGGUUCUUGUUAACCCUGAGAAACCAUGCUGUCGAAUCCUCCCAUUUGAUUAAGGGCAUCUGCUGAACAGCAAGCUUUCCUCUUAAAAUUAGGUGAACGUAGAUGAUGUUGGAGUAAUUGUUCUGGACUGAUGAUUCUCACACUAAAAAUAGCAUAUGGAGACUUUUCAGCAGAUUUGGUGCAGCUGUUCCUAUACCACUUCAUUAUUGCUUCCUGCACAUAAAGAGUUUGCAGUGCUCAAAUGUAAGCAGACAAUACAAGGUAAGAAAUACCAGCACAAUUUGUUGUGUACUAACACCAGUAAUCUACUAAUGGGAACAAUAUAGUUUGUCCUAAGGUAUUUUGUGCUUAUUUAAUGAAAACUGAGAUGGUGCACACCAACACUUGUGGAAUCACUCAUGCCAGUGCAAUGCAAAAUUCAAGCUCUAGUUUGCUCGGCUGUUAAGCUGAAUUAUUUUCUCAGUCAGAAACAGUACAGAAAUUGAUGCAAAGCUAUGUGAUGAAGCUGCCCAUUUAAUUAGGCAUAAAUGACAGGAAAAGUUCUCAUCCUUAAUUUUUUCCAUAAAUACUUCAAAACUCUGAAUUUAAGUCUUUAUAAAAAAGCCCUUGGGAAAGUGGAAUGUUUUAAUAUAAUGCAAAAAAGCUCAUCAUUGGUUUCAGAUAGGCAAGUCAACCUGGUAUGUUUCUUAGCAAGUAUACAGCAAAAACCAAAAACAUUACCUGAAAGCCCCUCUCAGCAUACCUUAUGUUCUCCUCUUUCCCUUCACAUUCCCACACUCCUGCAUUGUAUAAAAGGGUGUUUUAAGAAUUCCUGGGAGAAUAAAGUUGAAUUAAUUCAGGUUAAAGAGUUGUGAGAAGGCAUAGGUCCCAUCCAGACAGGCAUGACUACAGCCUGAUCUAUUAAAAAGUAGAAAUCCUUUUGCACUUUUAAUCUUACAGCUUUCCCAUGGGGAAGGAAGGCUGGGGGGAGGACAUGGUACAGGCCUGGGUUAACAGGUUCUGUGGAUAUGGGGGAGAGGUUGUGUAGUGUUGAUAUCGGGGAAGGGGAGGGGGCAGGGAGGCGGAGGUUGCUUAGUCUGUUCAAGAUAACCAGGUCUUGUAAGGUUCUUUUGGUAACUACCCAAUGUCUCCACUUCUCUCUAGACGCAAGCAGAAAUGCCUAUCUUCAGCUGUGUUUUCAUCUAGGUGCCCUUCUUGUAUCAUGUAACCUGUACUACUCUCCAAGUUUCUCUUUUAAGGUUCAUAGCAAAAUCAAUUGUCCCUCUGGCUACAGAUACAUCCUGGUGCUUCAUUAGGGAUUUGUCUGUGUGGAUGGAGUCCUGCAUGUCAGAGUGGCACCAGGUGAUGAGCUGGGCAGUCAGAGCAGCUUGCAUGCUCCUGCUGUACCUGAUGUCACAUUGCUGUGGUCACUGGCAGCGUUUUGAGGAGAAAACAAAAACCAACUGGUAACAAAAGCCAAAGACCACGAAACCAACAAACCCCACCUCAGCUGAGUUCAUUUAAAGAGGAGACUGAAAUAGAGAUUAAUUUGAAAACAGUGUGCUUGGACUUUUCUGUUCUCACACGUCCAUAACAGAAGAUUAGGAGUGUAGUAAGAUAAAUGAUUAUGUGACUGAAAUGACCACUUUGCAUGUAGUAUUUAUGUAACUUUGCAGUAAUUCAAUUAAUCUAACUGAAGCAAAGUUUGAUUAGUUCAAUAACUUACAUCUAUUUCAUUAUAAGCUUGUCCUCACAAAAAAAAAAUUCUGUUUUGGCUGUUUGUGAUCAAGAAUUUUGUUUUUUGUGAAAUCAUUAAUUCUGUCUGAUAACAGACUUUAGUGGUCUUUAUGCCCUUUUUGCUGAAAAGAACACCUAAAAUCAGCAGUUGUAGAUCAGAAGUCCUUGUACUGAGGUGGUAUGAUGUAAUCACUCAAAAAAUUAUCUCAGAUUAUAAAAAAUAAUGUAUUAUACAUUCCCUCAUUUUUAAAAAUUAAAAUAUAUAAAAACAAUUCACAGAAUCCCAAACUAUUCUGUGACUGUUCAAUUGAGAGUGUUCACUAAGUCCUGAAUUUUAUUAUUGGUGGUCUGGUUUUUCAUCUGUAAUUUUUGACAGUGUUGUUUGUUACAAAUAGUGGAGGUUUAUAUGUAAAUAUAUUGCUCCAAGUUGUAUGGGUUUCUAGCAUGCUUUAAGCAACAUCAUGAUGUCAUUACCUCUCAUUAAUUGUCAAAUUACUUAAAAUUGCUUUUCAUAUAACCUACUUGUCAUUUUAUGUAAAUGAUCUAAGCUUGUAUGUCAGUGUGUGGGCCACAAGCAGGUAGAGAAAUUUCUCCAGCUUCCUAAAUGUGAAGUAUUUUUCUUCUCCUCUGGCAAAAUGACCGGCUGGAAGCAAAGGAGGCUAAAGCUGGCACAUCCUUGGCAGAGGCAGUCUGGGUCAUGCGCAGAGCACAGCCAAGCACUGAGACUGAGAUUGUAUUGACAAGAACAAGAUGAAUGGCCCCCUGGAGACUAUGGGGUUUGUAUGCUCGCUUCCACCACCUUUUCAUCCUUUUGUACCCCCUUUCAGUUCAUAUGCAGAUUAACUCAAAGCAAGUCCACACUAAAUACUCUUUUUCACUUUAGUUUUGGAAGGUAGGUGGAGGAUCUAAAUAUUUAUGAGGCUUUUUUCCUCUGGUUUAUGAUGCACUCUUGUUGAAUGUUGAGGAAUUACGUUAAUGAAUGCAUGCCUGCACACACAGACACAGAAUCCAGGCAAAAGGAAAGAAAACCACACAAAGCAUUGUCAGCUCUAAUGUCAGUGCUUACUAAAACAGUUCCCAUUAAAAAAAAAAAAAAAAAGGAAAGAGAUUUAAAAUCCAUUGCCAGGAGAAAAAUAAAUUGUAUGGCUGAGCACAAAAGAAAGAACAAAGUUUCAUCUUUGCUUUCCUCAGCUGUAAAUGAAGCUCUUGUUUCAGCUCUGAAUAAAAUUGAAAUAAAACAUGUUAAUGAGAGCUUGUCUGAAGUCUUAACUGGAUUUGUGUUUUCAGUAAUAAAAGACCAAGCUUCAGUUCUGUACAAGUUUCCUUUAACAGUCGUAAUAAACAUGAUAUUUUUUAGUGUGAUACAAGAUGCAGUUAAAUAUACUUUAAUUAGACUUCCAAGUCACUUAAUUAAAUGACACUGGUUUUGCCACGAUCUUGUUCACUACACUUAUUCAGGAGACUUAGUUUUUAGGAGAUGGGAUUUUUAUGAAAAUUGAACUUCUUUUUUAUUAAAUAGAACAUACUGAGAUUACAGCCAGAUACACUAGAUUAUUAAUUUAUUUUCAGAAUGAAAAUAGUUCAAAACUGUAACUUAAGGAACAUUUUUCCUAUAGAUGGAAAAGUAAAUGGCAUUAAAAUACUACCACUGAAAUAUUGGGCAUAUUAAUUAUUUUACAUUUACAUUGUCAAAAUGAUUAUUCUGCCUUCCUUCCACCCCUUUUUAUUCUCCAGUACACACAUAGCUGUGCCAGACAGGGCUGCAGCUCACACAAGUGGGACAGUAAAUUCUUCUGCAUUCAGGGAGCAGAACAAGGGAUUUUAAAAUAUGCUUUUGUGCUAUUAUUAAAAAAUGUACUUAAGCAAUUGCAAAAUAGUAGCUCUUCAAGUGGAAUAGUAUUUCUAUGUCUAGACUCAGUUUUUCAUAUUAACAAUCUGCAUAUCUGACGUUCAUAAAACAUUGUCAUAAUAAAUAUGUUUAUCUUUUUAUGCUACUUCAUGUUCUAGGUAUUCAGUUUUCUAUGUAAUUAAAUCCAAUAAAGCCAUCUAUAUUUCAUUUGUUCUAAACGUCUUGGUUUUGAUCUUAAACCACUGCUUUUGCUAUUUUCAGUUACUUUGCCUGUGUUACACAAGGGUUAAGUGAAAGAAAUUUGUUUAGCAGAUCCCAAAACAGUAAAGCUGUACAUGACCCAAUAAAAAAUUCGUAUUUAACAA